UCUUCUCUCUAUACGUUGGCAUUCUAACCAAUAAUCACCAAUACGAUAUUCUGUCCGAUCGAUUCGGAAACCAAUGGACGAAUGCAAAAGUGUUGUCUAAAUAAGACUAUACUUUGUGAAUUUCGUUAAGGUUUUGAUCUCGUGACCAUCGUUAGGUUUGAUCGGGUUUAACACUAAUACGUAUUCCACUCUGUUAAACUAAAUGUUUAACUACCAGAAACUCUUCACUAUACACUUACAAUCAAAAUAGAUGCUUAGUUAUCAGAAGACAUAGAAUCAGGAGGCAUGUUAAAUCAAGACUAUAUGCUAACAAGGUAAUUACAGUAGAUUGGAACAAGAGUGGCGAGACGGCACCGAAAGGCUUAAAGAAGUGGCUUAUUUUAUCAAAUAAAUUAAAUUAAAUUAAACGUUGUUUUACGUAUUCGGGUAUAUCCCAUAUUAAAGCUACCUUUCAAAACAUGAUUUUAUCCCAUCUAUUUAAUAAAUAAAAUCCGGUGUUUUCUAAACCCUGAUAUUUUUCCUAACUCACGGUCCUGAUGAACAUUUCCGCUGCAGUGUUUUUAAAAUAACCACCGGUACCACUUGACUGCUCGCGGCUCCCGUCCAGGGUGGGGUCGGGGGCCGUGACAAAUAUGAAUUGACUUUUUAGAACUUAUGACUUUUUCCAUACAUACAUCUUCAAUCUCAAACAUCAUUUAUCAUUUGACUUUGAUCAAAAUGCCAACAAGUAAAUAAGCUGUUUCAAAAAGCUUUAAGUCAAAGAUGCCCAGACUGAUUGCUCCUUAUAAAAGACUUCUCUCACCCUUCCACCAAUCUUCUAGUGCACGAACGAUUGGGGCUAACCAUCCUGUUCAGCCUGCAGCUUCACGGCUAGGGUUCUGAGUUCUCGAUCCUAAAUCACAGACUAUGUCAACCAAUGGAGAGGACGAACCACCGUCAAAGACUGAUAAUAAACUUAGCACUAUACUUAUUGGUCUUGAUAAUUGGCUACUACUCCCGGAAGAAACUUGUGCUCAUUUUUAUGAACAAACCCAUCAUGAUGCCAUGGUUACUAUGUCACUGGGUGUUGAGUUAAAGUCGUACCAUAAAACACUUGAUAUCCACCGCAACAUGGCAAAAGCUCGAUAUGAUGGUUUGCGAGACCUGUAGAGAGUUAAAAACUAAACCACAAACAUGUGUUACUGCUGCACAGUAUUUUGAUAUCUUUUUGUCAAAAGCCGCUGAAAUCUUGUUGGAGGAUCCAAAUUAUAUUAAAUUGUGGGCGGUUGUUUGUGUUCGAAUGGCCUUCAAGGUUGUUGAGAGACGCGAUCUCCAUCUCUCGCAAUGGGCCGCUCAUUUAUCCACUGAAGAAGAUUUGAAUAAAUGUGAAAUUGAUUUGUCAGAAACACUAAAAUGGAAAUUCUGUCUUCCAACCGUUUAUACGUUUUUCCAUUACUUAAAACAAUCAAUGAAGCUGGAAUUUCUUAAUGAUGGAAUGGCGCAAGAUGGAGCCGUUGCAGAUUCUAUAAUCAUACACUCACUAGUAGCUUAGCAUUAAAAACAAUCUGUUCUGUAUACAUACAGGAGACAAUUCAUUGCUAACAAACUUUACUUUUACAUUUGUGUUUUUCGGAACAACGCUUUCUGCAGUUUCCUACUCAUGAAGUUGUCGUGGCCUUUGCUCUUGUGUUAUGCUCCAUUCCUGCCGAUAGCCUCGACGUACUUUAUUACUUGGCUAACAAGGAUAGCGUGGACGCUUGUGUCAGAUUGCUUAAGCAUUGUAUUUCAAUGACUUGAAAAAUUCAAAGCAAGUAGUCAAUGAUACAUCAUACACAAUACACAUCACACAUGCCAAGAAGAGGUGGUGGUCAAAUAUGCUGACUAUAGAGUAAAAACAGGUUGGUGUGGUUGGUUGACCAAAUGUUUACUUUGUUCUGAAUUGAA